CCAUUUAGAGGAAGUAAAAGUCGUAACAAGGUUUCCGUAGGUGAACCUGCGGAAGGAUCAUUAUUGAAUAAACAUUUGAUAGGCUGUUGCUGGCCCCUGGGGUAGUGGUGCACGCUUGUCAUUUAUUUGUUUAUUUUUUCACCUGUGCACCUAUUUGUAGACCUUAGAAUUUGGGGACUGCUGUGCGAGUAUGCCAGCUUUUCCUUGUCUCUCUCUAGGUUCUAUGUUUCUCACAUACUCCUACGAAUGUAAUAGAAUGUUGAUCUGGGUCUUUGAUGCCCAUAAAGUUAUAUACAACUUUCAGCAAUGGAUCUCUUGGCUCUCGCAUCGAUGAAGAACGCAGCGAAAUGCGAUAAGUAAUGUGAAUUGCAGAAUUCAGUGAAUCAUCGAAUCUUUGAACGCAUCUUGCGCUCCUUGGUAUUCUGAGGAGCAUGCCUGUUUGAGUGUCAUUAAAUUCUCAACUACACUGACUUUUUGAUUGGUGUGGCUUGGAUUUGGGUUUGUGGGCUUUGUUGUAGUCUGCUCCCCUGAAAUUGAUUAGCAGUGACUUGGUGGAACUGUCUACAGGUGUGAUAACUAUCUACAUCCUAGAUGUCUGCUUGAUGCUGCUUUCUAAACCUCAUUAUUUGACAAUCUUGACCUCAAAUCAGGUAGGACUACCCGCUGAACUUAAGCAUAUCA
rnacentral:rRNA from 1 species